AUUGAACGCUGGCGGCAUGCCUUACACAUGCAAGUCGAACGGUAACAGGUCUUCGGAUGCUGACGAGUGGCGAACGGGUGAGUAAUACAUCGGAACGUGCCUAGUAGUGGGGGAUAACUACUCGAAAGAGUGGCUAAUACCGCAUGAGAUCUACGGAUGAAAGCAGGGGAUCGCAAGACCUUGUGCUACUAGAGCGGCCGAUGGCAGAUUAGGUAGUUGGUGGGAUAAAAGCUUACCAAGCCGACGAUCUGUAGCUGGUCUGAGAGGACGAUCGGCCACACUGGGACUGGGACACGGCCCAGACUCCUACGGGAGGCAGCAGUGGGGAAUUUUGGAAAAUGGGCGCAAGCCUGAUCCAGCAAUGCCGCGUGCAGGAUGAAGGCCUUCGGGUUGUAAACUGCUUUUGUACGGAACGAAAAGCCCCGGGUUAAUACCCUGGGGUCAUGACGGUACCGUAAGAAUAAGCACCGGCUAACUACGUGCCAGCCGCCGCAGUAA
rnacentral:rRNA from 1 species